rnacentral:misc_RNA from 1 species
AAAUAUCACAAUGAAGAUUUAGCAGCUUUGCAUGUGUUUGAAAUUUAAUGGGAGGGGGGGGUGUUGGGGGCGGGGGUAGGGGAGUGCGUGCUCAGAACAAAUCUUAUUCUAGACAGUAGAAUAAAUAUCACAAUGAAGAUUUAGCAGCUUUGCAUGUGUUUGAAAUUUAAUGGGAGGGGGGGGUGUUGGGGGCGGGGGUAGGGGAGUGCGUGCUCAGAACAAAUCUUAUUCUAGACAGUAGAAU